ACCGAUAUGCUUUGGGGAGCUGUACGUAAGCGUUGAUCCAGAGAUUUCCGAAUGGGGGAACCCACUAUCUUUAGUCGGAUAGUAUCCUUACGUGAAUACAUAGCGUGAGGAAGGCAGACCCAGGGAACUGAAACAUCUAAGUACCUGGAGGAAGAGAAAGAAAAAUCGAUUUCCUGAGUAGCGGCGAGCGAAACGGAAAGAGCCCAAACCAAGAAGCUUGCUUCUUGGGGUUGUAGGACACUCUAUACGGAGUUACAAAAGAAAGUUAUAAAUGAAGCGGUCUGGAAAGGCCCGCCAAAGACGGUAACAGCCCGGUAGUUGAAAUGGCUUUCCCUCCAGAGUGGAUCCUGAGUACGGCGGAACACGUGAAAUUCCGUCGGAAUCCGGGAGGACCAUCUCCCAAGGCUAAAUACUCCCUAGUGACCGAUAGUGAACCAGUACCGUGAGGGAAAGGUGAAAAGCACCCCGGAAGGGGAGUGAAACAGUUCCUGAAACCGUGUGCCUACAAGUAGUUAGAGCCCGUUAAUGGGUGAUAGCGUGCCUUUUGUAGAAUGAACCGGCGAGUUACGAUUUGUUGCAAGGUUAAGCGGAAAAAGCGGAGCCGUAGCGAAAGCGAGUCUGAAUAGGGCGCAUAAGUAACAGGUCGUAGACCCGAAACCAGGUGAUCUACCCAUGUCCAGGAUGAAGGUAAGGUAAUACUUACUGGAGGUCCGAACCCACGCACGUUGAAAAGUGCGGGGAUGAGGUGUGGGUAGCGGAGAAAUUCCAAUCGAACUUGGAGAUAGCUGGUUCUCUCCGAAAUAGCUUUAGGGCUAGCCUCGAGGUAAAGAGUCAUGGAGGUAGAGCACUGUUUGGACUAGGGGCCCUUCUCGGGUUACCGAAUUCAGAUAAACUCCGAAUGCCAUGUACUUAUACUCGGGAGUCAGACUGCGAGUGAUAAGAUCCGUAGUCGAAAGGGAAACAGCCCAGACCACCAGUUAAGGUCCCCAAAUAUAUGUUAAGUGGAAAAGGAUGUGGGGUUGCUUAGACAACCAGGAUGUUGGCUUAGAAGCAGCCACCAUUGAAAGAGUGCGUAAUAGCUCACUGGUCGAGUGACCCCGCGCCGAAAAUGUACCGGGGCUAAACAUAUUACC
rnacentral:rRNA from 1 species